AUACGUAGGUGGCAAGCGUUAUCCGGAUUUACUGGGUGUAAAGGGCGUGUAGGCGGGACUGCAAGUCAGAUGUGAAAACUAUGGGCUCAACCCAUAGCCUGCAUUUGAAACUGUAGUUCUUGAGUGUCGGAGAGGCAAUCGGAAUUCCGUGUGUAGCGGUGAAAUGCGUAGAUAUACGGAGGAACACCAGUGGCGAAGGCGGAUUGCUGGACGAUAACUGACGCUGAGGCGCGAAAGCGUGGGGAGCAAACAGGAUGAGAUACCCUGGUAGUCCACGCCGUAAACGAUGGAUACUAGGUGUGGGGAGUCUGACCCCCUCCGUGCCGCAGCUAACGCAAUAAGUAUCCCACCUGGGGAGUACGAUCGCAAGGUUGAAACUCAAAUGAAUUGACGGGG
rnacentral:rRNA from 1 species